UCGGGCGUGGUGUAUGGUACACAUCGGGUGCUCUUGAAAAGGCGGGAGACAAUUAGCUCGCGGUACGGGGUUCGACUCCCCGCGUCCGAA